AGUGAACGCUGGCGGUAGGCCUAACACAUGCAAGUCGAACGGCAGCACAGUAAGAGCUUGCUCUUACGGGUGGCGAGUGGCGGACGGGUGAGGAAUACAUCGGAAUCUACUUUUUCGUGGGGGAUAACGUAGGGAAACUUACGAUAAUACCGCAUACGACCUACGGGUGAAAGCAUGGGAUCUUCGCACCUUGCGCGAUUGAAUGAGCCGAUGUCGGAUUAGCUGGUUGGCGGGGUAAAGGCCCACCAAGGCGGCGAUCCGUAGCUGGUCUGAGAGGAUGAUCGGCCACACUGGAACUGAGACACGGUCCAGACUCCUACGGGAGGCAGCAGUGGGGAAUAUUGGACAAUGGGCGCAAGCCUGAUCCAGCCAUACCGAGUGGGUGAAGAAGGCCUUCGGGUUGUAAAGCCCUUUUGUUGGGAAAGAAAAGCAGCAGGUUAAUACCCCGCUGUUCUGACGGUACCCAAAGAAUAAGCACCGGCUAACUUCGUG
rnacentral:rRNA from 1 species